CAUUAAGAAGCUUACCAAGCACUAGCCUUUUAAGCUAGAGAGGGAAACUCAACAAUCCCUUAAUGA
rnacentral:tRNA from 1 species